rnacentral:lncRNA from 1 species
GAUUCUCCAUUUUUAAAGCCCCAGAGGCAAUCUGCAAAGAACCCUGGAGUUCCAGUGGUAUUACAGGAAUCAUUGCAGGAUAGGAAGAGAUCAGAUGGGCUGGGUUUCAACAGAGCAACUUUGCUGUUACCUGCUGUAGAUAUUCAGCUUCUGGAUAAAAGGUCAAGUGAUAAGAAACUUCUGUAUUAUUGUUAUUACUAUUUUUACAUCUCUGCUUUAGGUUCUUGGGUUGGCUCUCUUAGUAGAUCACGGGUGAGCCUCCAAUACUUUUAUGUAAUUUACCAAAAGUUAAUGCUCUCAUAUUCCACCGUCUCCCAGGCAGCCCUUGCUCCUGAUUUGGACACCCUUCCAGAACAGGCAUUCCAUCCUUCCCAGAUUACAAUCCAGAGCCUCUCUCCUGCCUCCUACAUGAUUCUCAUCCUUACUUCACUAGAAAGAAGGAAAAAAAAAAAAAAAAAGAAAUGAGGCUAGGAAGAGAAACAAACGGUAGCUCUGCCCAUGCUUCCUUCCUUCCUAAAGUCAAAUUUUUAUAGAACAUCAUCAUCUUUUGGAGCUUUGGAAUGGAUUCCUCCACAAGUGGAAAGUAUCUAUCACACCCCAAAAUGAAACACUUUCAGAGCCUGCAAAGCUGUAACUACAUAAAAAUAUAUUAAUAAAUCUAAAGUCACUUGCUACUAGGAAAUGUGAAAAAGUAACAUAUUUAGGAAUGACAGAAAAUUGGGCAUAAGUUAGAACCAUUUAACUAUAAUCAAAACAGAAAGUGGAAAAAAUUAGUUAUUGACUAGAGGGAAGCUAGUUUUUUAGCUUUAAAGGAAUUUUUAGCAAGUUACAGUAAGAUUCAAAGGCUUAAUUCUAUGAAAUUUUACAAAAUUGAAAGUUACUAAGCAGUAGAAAAGAAAUAAAACUAACAUUUAAGAGAAGUCAAUGAACUUGGAAAAAUAUUUCAUAAAAUUUGACUAAGGAUCAUAUCUAUAUAGUAUAUAGAUUAAGAUAUAUAUUAAAAUAUAGAUCAUAAUAUAGAUAAAUAUUCUAUCAAGUCUUAUUAUAAACAAUAGAAGCAGAUUCUAACAAUUUUUUAAAGAAGACAUUUGUUGGAAUUAAAUUAUGUGAUGUUGUUUGCAAAACUAAACGCUGGAAGGCUGCCCUGGUGUCUUAGUGGUAAAGAAUCUGCCUGCAGUGAAGGAGCUGCCAGAGAUAUGGGCUUGAUCCCUGGGUCAGGAAGAUCCCCUGGAGGAGGAAAUGGCAAUGCACUCCAGUGAUCUUGCCUGGAGAAUCCCAUGGACAGAGGAGCCUGGUGGGCUACAGUCCAAAGGGUCACAAAAAAAUUGGACAUGACUGAGUGACUGAGUGCGUGUGUGUACACACACACAUAGACACAGAAGAUACCACAUGCCAGGGAGCAGCUAGGCCUGUGCACUACAACUAUUGCGCCUGUGUUCUAGAGCCCGGGAACUGUAACUACUGAGCCCGUGUGCCUCAACGCCUGAAGCCCACGCUUCCUAGAGCUGGUGCUCUGCAACAAGCCACUGCAGUGAGAAGCCUGUGCAUGGCUAGAGAGUAGCCCCUCCCUUGCUGCAACUAGAGAAGAGCCCCCACAGCAAUGAACACCCAGCACAGCCAGAAAUAAAAAAACUAAACACUGGAAAAAAAAAUCAGAUAUCAUAUGAAUGAGACCAGGGAAAGUAUAUAAAUAAAUAUGGAUAAAAGAAACUCUGAUGUUGGCCCAUCUUUUUCAGAAAGUUAUGAGCAUCGUAAUGUAGCUUUCAUUGUUUUCUAUUCUUGUUUUUACAAUUCAAAUUGCUGGGAGCAUCUAACUGGCCAGGGCAUGGGGACAUGCUUGAUGCCCCCCACCCCAAAAGUAGCCCACAGUGGAGAAGGGGUAGUUCCCAAAGGAAAUUGAUGUAUAAAAGGGAAGGAUUCUCAGCAGGCAAAAGGAGUAAAUGUCUACCAUGGGGCUCAUUCCGAUAUUUUAGAAAAGCAGUGAGAAAAAAAUUCAAUCAAAAAUGAGCAGAGGACUAAACUGAUCAUUCAUAGAAGAUUCAAUAUAAAGCCCCAUAGGGGAACGAACUAUUCAAACCUUAUAAAAAUGAAACUUACACCAAGUAAAGCAAAACAAAGAACUUUUUAAACCAUUAGAACAACAGCAUUCCUCAAGACUUAAGCACAAAAUUGCUGGCCAUGUGAUCCACCAAUUCUGCUUUUCAGGAUAUUUUCAAAAUAAUUGAAACUAGUGACUCACAUGUUUGCUCUCUGGUAUUCACAGCAAUCAUUAUUCACAGUAGUCAAAUGGUGGAAGCAGCACGAAUGUCCAUUCACAGAUGAGUGGAUAAACAGAAUGUGGUGUGUAAAUUAUCAUGGAAUACCAUUCACCCUUGAAAAUGAAUGAAAUUCUGACACAUGCUAAAACAGGGAAGAACCUUGAAAACAUUUUGGUAAGUGAAAUUAGCCAAACACAAAAGAACAAAUAUUUAAUGACUUCACUUACAUAAGGUACCUAGAAUAGGUCUCAGAGACUGGAAAGUAGAAUACAG